AGAGUUUGAUCCUGGCUCAGGAUGAACGCUGGCGGCGUGCCUAAUACAUGCAAGUCGAGCGAACGGACGAGAAGCUUGCUUCUCUGAUGUUAGCGGCGGACGGGUGAGUAACACGUGGAUAACCUACCUAUAAGACUGGGAUAACUUCGGGAAACCGGAGCUAAUACCGGAUAAUAUUUUGAACCGCAUGGUUCAAAAGUGAAAGACGGUCUUGCUGUCACUUAUAGAUGGAUCCGCGCUGCAUUAGCUAGUUGGUAGGGUAACGGCUUACCAAGGCAACGAUGCAUAGCCGACCUGAGAGGGUGAUCGGCCACACUGGAACUGAGACACGGUCCAGACUCCUACGGGAGGCAGCAGUAGGGAAUCUUCCGCAAUGGGCGAAAGCCUGACGGAGCAACGCCGCGUGAGUGAUGAAGGUCUUCGGAUCGUAAAACUCUGUUAUUAGGGAAGAACAUAUGUGUAAGUAACUGUGCACAUCUUGACGGUACCUAAUCAGAAAGCCACGGCUAACUACGUGCCAGCAGCCGCGGUAAUACGUAGGUGGCAAGCGUUAUCCGGAAUUAUUGGGCGUAAAGCGCGCGUAGGCGGUUUUUUAAGUCUGAUGUGAAAGCCCACGGCUCAACCGUGGAGGGUCAUUGGAAACUGGAAAACUUGAGUGCAGAAGAGGAAAGUGGAAUUCCAUGUGUAGCGGUGAAAUGCGCAGAGAUAUGGAGGAACACCAGUGGCGAAGGCGACUUUCUGGUCUGUAACUGACGCUGAUGUGCGAAAGCGUGGGGAUCAAACAGGAUUAGAUACCCUGGUAGUCCACGCCGUAAACGAUGAGUGCUAAGUGUUAGGGGGUUUCCGCCCCUUAGUGCUGCAGCUAACGCAUUAAGCACUCCGCCUGGGGAGUACGACCGCAAGGUUGAAACUCAAAGGAAUUGACGGGGACCCGCACAAGCGGUGGAGCAUGUGGUUUAAUUCGAAGCAACGCGAAGAACCUUACCAAAUCUUGACAUCCUUUGACAACUCUAGAGAUAGAGCCUUCCCCUUCGGGGGACAAAGUGACAGGUGGUGCAUGGUUGUCGUCAGCUCGUGUCGUGAGAUGUUGGGUUAAGUCCCGCAACGAGCGCAACCCUUAAGCUUAGUUGCCAUCAUUAAGUUGGGCACUCUAAGUUGACUGCCGGUGACAAACCGGAGGAAGGUGGGGAUGACGUCAAAUCAUCAUGCCCCUUAUGAUUUGGGCUACACACGUGCUACAAUGGACAAUACAAAGGGCAGCGAAACCGCGAGGUCAAGCAAAUCCCAUAAAGUUGUUCUCAGUUCGGAUUGUAGUCUGCAACUCGACUACAUGAAGCUGGAAUCGCUAGUAAUCGUAGAUCAGCAUGCUACGGUGAAUACGUUCCCGGGUCUUGUACACACCGCCCGUCACACCACGAGAGUUUGUAACACCCGAAGCCGGUGGAGUAACCUUUUAGGAGCUAGCCGUCGAAGGUGGGACAAAUGAUUGGGGUGAAGUCGUAACAAGGUAGCCGUAUCGGAAGGUGCGGCUGGAUCACCU
rnacentral:rRNA from 1 species